UCGUACAACUCCUUGAUCUCCCAGCAGGGUCCAAGGAGCAGCUGCGCAAGGGAGUAUGCGAAAUCAUGGUGUCUGUGCAGUUGAUUUUGGCGUGGAUUUCGUCUCCCGCAGCUAGAUUGGAUCCAACUCGAGUAAUAGGAUGCAGGCAACGGUGUGUUCCCUAGGUGCGAGGCAGACACAUCGUUUCUAUUCCCGGUCGAUGCAGCCCGGCACGUUGUCCUCCUCCUCCAGCCUGAAUAUUCUUCCAAAUUCGAACUUCGACUUGCAGGUCCCCUUCUUUCCCUUUUCCACACUCUGUCAUAUUUAUAAUGUAAUUUAGAAAAUGUUUGUUAGUGGAGAAUGUUUCUUCAUUUUCCUUUAAAUCUUGGGGAAAUAUGUGAUUCUUUUUUUAAGUUAUCUACAUGUGUUGAAUUAUGUACGUACUACUAAGUUUGUGAAACUUUAAAAAUUGUAAUUAUAUGUAUGAGUACAUAUGAAAUAUAACCAUGUCUCGAUGCUCUCACUAUUCGUUUCCACUAAAUGAUAAGCAUGAAGAAUAAGAUAUCACAUAAUAGAGAUUGUUGAUGUUUUGUUGUAGAGCAUAUUCGGCCUGCCAUAUCAUGUUAGCAUAGUGCAGUCACUUUGUAUUUUUAGGAUAUAGUUUGCAGUAUGCUAAAUUUUUAUAUAUGCAAUUUUUAUGUAAUGGAGCAGGUCAGUAGCCUCAGCUAGUGAAAGAAGCGUCAUGCUGAAAGUGCAUUAUUUGUUAAUACCUUUAGAAUAUUUCUUUAUAGACUAUGUUCUUGACCACAUCAUCCUCAUUGAUAUCUUUAUCAUUUACCAUUACUCGUAGUGCCAUGUGUGAAAACUUGUUUAGGUAGUUAUAUAGUCCUACCUUGUUUCGAGAUUGCCCCUAGUUUUUGUUGACAAUCGUAGCAAAACAAACUGAUAUAGGAUACUGUCUCCUUUUUAGAAAGAACGGCCACGCGGAUCCGGUUGGUGACAUGACUAUUCUUGGAAUAUAUACUAUUUCUCCCACAAUGUGUUCCUGAUAUUAUCUGUGCUUCGACGGAAUUUCUUCCACAUGAGGUCCUAUUGUUAUCCAUUUAUCAUUUAUCUUUUACUGUACUUUUUAUGAUCAGCCACUUUUUGCAAAAAUAAUCUGUAUCAUUUUUUCGGCAUUUUUAUCAUGUUGCUUUGUAAUAUAUAUUUUUCUUUAGAAGAGUUACAAACAAUAUUAAAACCUGAAAACAGAUGACACAUUAGACAUGGGCAGCUAUUGAUGCUUGUACGGACAUGUUAGUCUAAACUUCAAAGAAUAUAAGUUAUACCAUGAAAACAGUGCCUGUGACAUUCACCUAACCUACCCGAAUGUUUCCUCUGUUUGUAAAUAUGAGGUAUAUUUCUUGCCUCAAACAGAUCAUAUUUCCCAUUUUCUUACAAAAUAAGAGUCCUGUUCCUUGUAUGCCCUAUUAUAUAUAUAGGUGCAAUGUAGUCACUAUGGGGGUAGCAGGGACAGUUUCCAUAUUUAGUCAUCAAUGGAUUAGGGACGGAAACACAUGACAAUACUGAGCUAGCUAAAUUACCAUGUAGACCCUCUGCCUAUUUUCUCAUUGUUGUUAUUUAUAGAAAACAGAACUGACUUACCAUAGUGAAGUGCUGACUUUGAGCAGUAAAAGUUGUCGGUUGGUGCAUGCAUGACUCCAGCUUUGCAGUUUGACAUUUUCCUUAGACAUUUGGAAAAGUAAACACAUAAAGAGGAACUCAUAUAUAUUUUUCAUAAAGAGGAAUGCCCUGCAAAAUUUUAAAAUGGUGAAACUUUUAUCUAUGCUUGCUAGUAAUUCCAAGCCAAAUGCAAUAGAGAUGUAGAAUGUCACAACUAUGACAUGAAUAAUUAUAACUUUAGUCAUUCAGAAUUUUAGUGCUAAAAGUAACCUGAAUGUCAAAUACAGAAAGGUUUACCUCUGUCAUUGUGUCAACUUAUUUUGAGGGAUUUGAACAUUUGGUGAAAUUAAUUGAUGAUCAUACACAUGGAAAACAUUUUGGCAGAACUACAGUUAGUGAUGAUUUUCCGUACGCAUGGCCUGUAGCAGAACUGUAAUCUAGCAUUAUCUAAAAUAAGAGACCAGCCUUGGACUAUUAUCUUCCCAUGGCACCACCAUGCUAAUGCUGAAAACAACGUCUAGUACAAUGAAUCUUGCUUUGAAUAUAACAGAACUACUACCCUGCAACUUUAUUCUAUACUGGAAAAUAAUUGAUGCAAUAGUUAAGCUUAUUCCAACUCUUGUAAGGUACAAUGCACAUAAAAGAAAGGGUAUGCAAUUUACAGGUCACUAAUCAUAUUCUUGAUUCUUAACUAUGUGUUGGGUUUCUUCUAACAUUCAUAAUAAAGAUAGGCAAAUACGUGAAUUAUUUCCGCUACAUUUUCCAGAACAGCAGGAUUAUGGAUAGUUCCGAGAAGAGCGCCUCCCGAUCAUGGCUAUCAAUACUCUCGUUGUACUCGUCAAGUCCGACAUCCUAGUGCUAUAUCUCGGUCGGUGUCAAGGAAAUUUUCAACCUGGCCUGAUGGAUGAAGGUGUUUCCUACUUCUGUAUCUCUAUGGUGAUCAAGACUCAGUGAUCCAUGACAUGUAGGAUUUUGGUUCACUGCUCUCACAAAAAGGGGUAAACAUGCAUGGCGUGCCAUAAAUGGGUCUGGUUUGCAGGGAAGCAUUUUGUUGUCUGGCCAUUACUAUUGUCGUCACCUAUACAAAUCGGAACUGACCUGACAUGCUCGUCAUUCAUGGGUGAUUGUUGUCAUUAGCUCCACCCUUAUCAGCUUACCAAAUCUGAAGCCUCGCUUCUCUCCUGGAUUUGCAUGUUGGUGGAUGGAUGUAUGCGUUCAGCAAAGCACAGAGGCAGAAGACCAGCAGCCCAAUCUUGACUCACAAAAAUCUGCAUAGGCACAACUCCAUUAUGCAUUACAAUAUGACAGCAUGCUUUAGCCUCAUCAAUCUUUGUAAAGUUUGUGGAUGGACAUUUAGUUUGUUUUGAUAACUAAAGGGGAAAACCUUUGGCCAGAGCUGGACAUGAGAGCAAAGCGAGGGAUAAAGGAUUACAUUGUAUUGCACUAUGUCUUAAAGUCCCUUGCAACAUCUGUUGUGCUAAUGAAAACUGGUGUCCUCAACCAAAUUGAGGGCCAC
rnacentral:lncRNA from 1 species